UUGGAUGAGCCCUCGGAGGACUCCAUUUGUUUUGAUGAUGGAUUCUUACGCUCCAUCAUCGUCUCAAAUGAGUCUUCAGAGGGUUCCAUCAU
ensembl:miRNA MIR136 microRNA 136